GAUGAACGCUGGCGGCGUGCCUAAUACAUGCAAGUCGAGCGAACGGACGAGAAGCUUGCUUUUCUGAUGUUAGCGGCGGACGGGUGAGUAACACGUGGAUAACCUACCUAUAAGACUGGGAUAACUUCGGGAAACCGGAGCUAAUACCGGAUAAUAUUUUGAACCGCAUGGUUCAAAAGUGAAAGACGGUCUUGCUGUCACUUAUAGAUGGAUCCGCGCUGCAUUAGCUAGUUGGUAAGGUAACGGCUUACCAAGGCAACGAUGCAUAGCCGACCUGAGAGGGUGAUCGGCCACACUGGAACUGAGACACGGUCCAGACUCCUACGGGAGGCAGCAGUAGGGAAUCUUCCGCAAUGGGCGAAAGCCUGACGGAGCAACGCCGCGUGAGUGAUGAAGGUCUUCGGAUCGUAAAACUCUGUUAUUAGGGAAGAACAUAUGUGUAAGUAACUGUGCACAUCUUGACGGUACCAAAUCAGAAAGCCACGGCUAACUACGUG
rnacentral:rRNA from 1 species